rnacentral:lncRNA from 1 species
ACUGGUUUAGAGUCGCCACUUAAUUUUUAAGAAAAAUCAAGAAAACUAUUGUUUUCAAAAGACUAAAACAGAAAUCUAGUGAAAACUUAAAAAGGGUUCGAGGUUCUUAUUAAUAUUCUAGGAAGGUUUUUAAGGCACCUAGAAUAUCCGCUAAUGCGGUUAUCCGACAAUUAAUUUAUUUGGUUAAAAUAAUUUUAACUUAACUUAAAUUGCAAAAUUGAAUUAUUCUAUAGUUAGAACUAUUUAAAAAGGGAAAGAGAAAUAUGGAACUACUAUCUAAGUGAGAGAAUUCACAAAAUUUAUUCUUUUAAGUCUUUUGAAAGAUGAUCGGUUUAGUUAAGUUGUUAAAAAACGAAAUGAGCGUCUUUCGGGGAUUUGAACUUUUCAACCCUAAGAUUAACGACAAAUACUAUCAAGCAAAACAAAUACAGUAAAGUAAAGAGGGAAAGAGGGUUGGACCCAAAUCUGGUUUCUGUCCGCCUGGACCAGUAUUUGGGCCCAUUUUCGUUUUGGGCCUUCGGCCCAUUUAAGUCAUUUGUACCUGUCCUAUUCUAGCAUAAUAGAAGUAUUUUCUAUCUUUUGGGCCUUAGUCCCAAUUCUUC